rnacentral:ncRNA from 1 species
GUGUCGAAAGACAUAAUAGGGAAUCCGGUCAACGCCGGAGCGGUCCCGCCACUGUAAGGGGAGUCCUGCCGAUAUGCCACUGAGGCUUAGCCUUGGGAAGGCGGUGAAGGAUGAAGAACCUGAGCCAGGAUACCUGCCUGUUUC